rnacentral:rRNA from 1 species
CUCUUCUUGUAUUAUAAUAUGAGGUAUAAUCUGCCCACUGAUAUUUAUUGAAGGGCCGCGGUAUCUUGACCGUGCAAAGGUAGCAUAAUCAUUAGUUUUUUAAUUGAGGACUGGAAUGAAUGAUUGGACGAGAGGUGAUCUGUUUCUUUACUAUUUAUUGAAUUUAAAUUUCAAGUUAAAAUGCUUGAAUUUUUUAGUGGGACGAGAAGACCCUAUAGAGUUUAAUUAAUAACAUUUUAUUUGGUUGGUUUUUUGGUUAAUUUGUUAUUAAUUUGGUUGGGGUGAUUGGAAGAUAUUGAAAACUCUUUUACUUGAUUCUUAUUUAUUUAUUAGUCUAUGAUCCAUUUUUAGUGAUUAUUAGAAAAAAUUACCUUAGGGAUAACAGCGUAA